rnacentral:rRNA from 1 species
GUGAGGAAUAUUGGUCAAUGGGCGGAAGCCUGAACCAGCCAAGUAGCAUGCAGGAUGACGGCCCUAUGGGUUGUAAACUGCUUUUAUACAGGAAUAAAGUUAGCCACGUGUGGUUAUUUGUAGGUACUGUAUGAAUAAGGACCGGCUAAUUCCGUGCCAGCAGCCGCGGUAAUACGGAAGGUCCAGGCGUUAUCCGGAUUUAUUGGGUUUAAAGGGAGCGUAGGCCGUCUGUUAAGCGUGUUGUGAAAUGUAGAUGCUCAACAUCUGAAUUGCAGCGCGAACUGGCAGACUUGAGUGUGCGCAACGUAGGCGGAAUUCGUGGUGUAGCGGUGAAAUGCUUAGAUAUCACGAAGAACUCCGAUUGCGAAGGCAGCUUACGGGAGCACAACUGACGCUGAAGCUCGAAAGUGCGGGUAUCGAACAGGAUUAGAUACCCCAGUAGUCC